AAGCUUAGGUUAAUAGACCAAAGACCUUCAAAGUCUUAAGCGAAGGUUAAACCCCUUCAACUUCUG
rnacentral:tRNA from 1 species